GUUUUUCUAUUCAGGCAAAAAGAAUAAUCCUUUUAUUGUGUUGUGGAACGUGUUUUGACAAAGGGUUUUUCAAGACUAGGUAGCUCAAACUGGAAAACUUGAAGGGUGGGAAUGAAAGGUAACUCAGAGCUGAAACGUUGGAGAAGACCGUGAUCAAGGUGGUCACUGAGGAGACUCCGGAUCGGCGCCGCUGACAAAGAAUAAGUUACGUAUUAAAAAGGUAAAUUUAGAGGCCGGGGAUUUAGCUCAGCGGUUCGGUGCCCUGCCCUGCAAGCGCAAGGACCUGAGUUCAAUCGCCGGUACCAAAAAAAGAGUGGGGGGGGUAAGUGGAGUUAGCGUGUGUAGGUUUUUCUCUUCCUUUCCCACUUUAUAAAACAGUACAGCCCACGGUCUUUCUACAAAGCGAUCGCGCAGAAGGCUUCCUUUUCUCCUCCCCAAAGGUAGCGCAGGAGGGGAGAGUGCUGGGCACCCCCAGGAAAACGCGUCUCCAGUUCCAGUCCGCGCUUCCUGCUUCGCGUCUGAGGCGGCUGAAACAGGAGCUAGACCCGCUUGCCUCAGCCUCCGGAGGGCAGGGACUGCAGCUGUGCGUCCCCGAGCCCAGACUCUCCAUUGUUUACACGGAUUUACUUUUGGACUUGGAGGAAAUUGCUGUAGGUCCUGCACUUACUCGGAGACUGAAAAUCCGUUCCGCAGGAGGUGGACAGUGAUUGCAAUGGUAAGACUGACUGCCUGCCGGUAGCAACAAUAACAGCGCUGGAAGGCUUAGGCGUGAAAAUACAAUUGAAAAUUCUUCUCUUUUUGUCUCACUACAACCAGAUGAAGACGGUGUUGACAAACUCUGAGCAAUUUUCAGUUUUCUUUCAGUACACUCUAUGUCAAGGCGUAAGUUUAAAAGGCUAUAUAGCUAUUUUCACGCAGCUUUGAACCGUGCACCUUUACUCCUUUUAAGUGAACGUGGUAACCACUACACCACAGAAAGGUACAUAGAGUAGGCGCUUGUUUAUGCCUUUGACUGUUAGCAGCCAGUGCCCGGCCGCCCACAAGGCCCCACAGACAGAACCCGCGGCUGCCUGAAGCUCUGCAGUCGACCUCUUACAGGGGACAGGGUGUCUCCUUCACUGCUCGCCCCGCGCUUGUUUUCCACAUCCAAUCCCGAUACACCUUGCUCGUUGUUCAGGACAAAGCUAUCAAAGCAACGGGAAUACAUUUAAGGAGAAAGAGAGAGAG
rnacentral:lncRNA from 1 species